rnacentral:rRNA from 1 species
GUCUUAAUUGGGCGUUAAGUUGCAGGGUAUAGACCCGAAACCCGGUGAUCUAGCCAUGGGCAGGUUGAAGGUUGGGUAACACUAACUGGAGGACCGAACCGACUAAUGUUGAAAAAUUAGCGGAUGACCUGUGGCUGGGGGUGAAAGGCCAAUCAAACCGGGAGAUAGCUGGUUCUCCCCGAAAGCUAUUUAGGUAGCGCCUCGUGAAUUCAUCUCCGGGGGUAGAGCACUGUUUCGGCUAGGGGGCCAUCCCGGCUUACCAACCCGAUGCAAACUGCGAAUACCGGAGAAUGUUAUCACGGGAGACACACGGCGGGUGCUAACGUCCGUCGUGAAGAGGGAAACAACCCAGACCGCCAGCUAAGGUCCCAAAGUCAUGGUUAAGUGGGAAACGAUGUGGGAAGGCCCAGACAGCCAGGAUGUUGGCUUAGAAGCAGCCAUCAUUUAAAGAAAGCGUAAUAGCUCACUGGUCGAGUCGGCCUGCGCGGAAGAUGUAACGGGGCUAAACCAUGCACCGAAGCUGCGGCAGCGAACGUAUCACCCAAGACAACUUUGCGGAGUUGACGAUUGACGGAGCGAAGCGACGUCAAAGCGUUCAUUAAAGUCGAGUUGGCUUAGGGAUACGUUCGUUGGGUAGGGGAGCGUUCUGUAAGCCUGUGAAGGUGUGCUGUGAGGC